AGCGCAGUCGGCGGAGAGCUGAGAUGGAGCGCGCCUUGGCUUGCUAGCCAUGGCUGCAGCUCCUCCGAAGAGCUGGGGCGCCCACGCGAGAAUCCCUCACCUGGGUCUUUCUUCAGGGAUGACAUCAUCGGUUCACCCCUUCGUCUUCAAGGACCACCUUUCCUGAUGACAAGCUGCUGCCAAGAGGGCACCAGGACCAUGGAUUCCUCAAUCCCACGGCACAUGAAGCAGCCACCAGAAGACACCAGGACCAGGAUGACGUCAGAAGAAGAGGACCAGAGCUCACCUGCCUGCUGACCUUCCCGGCUAAAGACUUAAACCAAUGCCCUAGUGAGGGGGCAUUGGCCGGUAGCCCCCGCCCGUGCCUGCGCCUCGUGUGUGGAUGCUCUCUUGUGUGUCUGCUUGUUUCCCUGCCAGCCACCUGGAGUGCUUCCCUCCCCAUGGGGGUGUCGGUCGUUUUUGGCCGACUAUGCCAUUAACUACCCUUAUGAUGUCCUGAGUGGAAGGAUCCCUUUGGGAACUUCCCAGGAGGGGGACCUGGGCCAAGGGCUUGACAGUGCCUCAUGGGCACCUCUGGGGCCCUUGGUGGGCUUGUGGAAUGAGCAUGCGCCUGACCCACCCAAGGCAUGCCUGCCUCUUGUGAGGUCUCCCCGUCCUUUUCUAGGGAAUGGGCACGAUAGGAGCAACCUCCUAGGGCUGUUGUGAGAAUCAGACGCCCGACAGCCCCGACGCAGGGGGCUCUUCUUGCACCAGCCCAGCUUCUCGAAAGACCUGUCUACACUUGCUGCUUUCCUUCCUCACUCCAUUUCCUCUUCAGCCCACUGCUUCCUGACCCACUCUGCUCCGUCCACCGGCUCUCCCUCAGUUGGCCUCGUCUGCCAUGGACUGCGUGGGACCUUGGCCAGGUUGGCUGAAGAGUGUGGAUGGACGCGCGAGGACCCCUGCGAGGCUCACCACGGGACGACCCUUCUCCAUGCGCCUCCCCCACCUCCUGGGACUCGGCUGAGGCCUUCGCCUGACACCCAGCGUGGGAAAGGACCCCAGAGCCCUGGACACGGCACCCCAGCACCCUCCAGCCCUGAAUCGGCAGACUAGGAUGGAAGUGCCCUUGUGAGCCGGGGCCCUUCAAAGGGCCAAGGAGAAAAUGCAGGCCCAGAGACCAGCCUCUCAAAUGGGCUUCGAGCUCCAAUGACCUGCGCUCACCCCCUCGAAAUGUCUGGAACACAUAAUGGGCAGGUUUUCUGUCUUCAAAGUUUCCGGCUAAACCUCUUCAAGUUCUUUAUUGUUUGGGACUGAGAUACUCAGCGAUGGUAAUAGGGAGUUUCUUUUGUAUUUGCCUUGAAAGGCCAAAAUAUUUGUAUAUUGCCACAGACAAAGCCACCUAUUUAAAAGUGAACCCUGUGUGUGUUGUUUCCCACCAGGAGACUAUGUACCCUGUGUGCGUCUGUGUAUUCUGGGGUCUUGAAACAGGUUUCUCAUGGGGAUGGCCAUUCACGGGGUCCAGAGGGGCAGAGCGGGAAGUGGCUGCCCUGCCAAGGGGGCUGGGGGUUGGGAGUGCUGAUUUCAGCUCUGCCCCCAGUAGGUCUAGGAUGUGAGCCCUGGGAGAAUCUGACAGUAAACUAGCAUUCAUCUGUCUUUGCUCUGCAUCUGCCAUUUGUGUGUGUCUCUGGGCUGUGGGUUUGUGACGGCGAUGGCUGAGCAGUGGGCGGAAGCAGGACGUCCUGAGAGGUGUGUGCUUCUGGGUUUCUUGUCUGGAGGUUGUGCCAUUGUAUCUGUGACACUGUGUGACAAGCCAUCAGUUGGAUAAGGAGAAGGAGUGGGGACCCCACAGAUGCACGGGAAGCGGCUGGCCAGGGAGCGUGCACGGACCGUGCGUGCACCCCAGCGCCCCGAGGUCCACACACAGAUCAGUGCAGCAUUGGACCAGUAAGUACGCAGGGCCACACACAAACUAGUGUCAGGCCAUCAAGGACCAGAGAACGUGUGUCACUCAAAUACAGGCCUCUGAGGUUUGUCAGUGAAGAAUAAAAACCUACGAGUGAGAAGCAUAAAUGCAUAACCCACGGCUGACGUUUCAAGGCCCCCCAGAAUGAAAAGAGGCAAGACAGGGACUAAGCGGUCAAAGGGAGAGAGAAGAGGAGAGAAAGCAGACAACCAGUCGAGGAGGGCAGAUGAAGAAAGCAGGCGACACACACGGCAGGUUACGCCCGGCCUGGCGCCAGGCAGGAGUGACCCCAGGAGUGACCCCAGGGCAGAGCAGAGCAGAGGAGGAGUUCAGGGAACACUAGAAAGGCAAGGGCACCUGGCCAGCAGUUGCCAAGCCUGGCCCCCACAGCUCUGUGUGGGUCAACAGACGCCCAAGUAAAGAAGGACAGGAAGGAAGUGACAGCUGUGGGCAGGUGAGCCCGCCCAGGCGACAGGUGAGACGGGCCUGAGGGUGUCGAGUGGCCCAGGCCUGGGAACCGAGGUCUGCUAGGUGCAAGGCUAUGAGAAAGAGCAAAAAAAGGGCAAUGUAGAUAAGACACAACACUAAGAAGGAAAGGGUCACAGAUGUUAAGUACAGAAACACACGGAUGGACCAAUAAAGAAAGAUAUAAAAGGAGGUGAUGCCGGAGUCAUGGUAGAAGAUUAAGUAAAAAAAGAGUCAGUGCAUCAGCGAAACCCUCAGUACCUAAACGAAGAGGUCAGGGAGUAUCUAAAGGAACAGAGAGGGCCAGGUGCGGUGGCACACGCCUGUCAUCCCAGCAGCUUGGGAGGCCAAGGAGGAGAAUCACCAGUCCAAAGCCAGCCUGGCUUGGCUGACUUAGUGAGACCAUGUCUCAAAAUAAAAGAUACAAAGGGCUGGGGAUGUGUCUCCAUGGCAGAGACCUGGGGGGUUCAAUCCCUGGAACCAAAAAACAAAACAAAAAAGGAAGCAAGAAAUGGGAUGCAGGACCUGGAGAGGGUGUUAGUGUGAUCACCCCCAGCACCCCAGCUCCAUGAGAAUGAGGAAAGGCAGGUGGGGAGCGUGGGAGUCUCAGAAAGCCAUGCCAGGAGAGAGGAAGGAACGGCAAGAGGAAUAGUAAUGAAAUGGGUGUGUGAGUUUAUCCAGUCGAGGGUUAGGCUGAGCCAAAUCUGAGCACCUAAUUCCACUAGUGGAAGAGAAGAAGUGAGAAGGGUGGGCGAGAAGGGGGCAGGAGAGACGGAGCCGCAUGGGCCGUGGCGGGAGUUUGCAGGUGUCUUCCUUUCCCAUCCGUCCCGGGCAGCGUUCUGUCCUGCGUCUUUCCUGCAUUCUCUGAUUCAUUUCAAAGAAUGAGAGAAUGCAAGAAAUAGGGAGAAGAGACACAAAGAAAAAUGGAAAGAAAUGUACAAAUUACCUACAAAUUAGCUAAGAAAGAAGAAAAAGAACAUAUUAACAAGUAAAUAGCUGCAUGGAGACAGAAGAGAAAGCCAGGCUAGGAUGAAAGGCUGUGAGAACGGAGCUCACUGGUUAAUUGACAUCUGUGCUUCUGAGAUGGACAAGGACCCACCAACCCAGAGACAGUUCAAAGCGUAAAUAUGUUGGGGGAGGACGUCAGUGGGGCCAGGGAGGUGGGCCCAUUAACUGCAGAUAUAAUGUAUCCAAUUACGUGCACCUGUCAUCAAGAAGCCUAGAAUAAGUAUUUAAACAGAAAGAAAGACUGAAUGGAUGCGUGAAUGCGUGAAUGAAUGAAUGAGAAAAAAGCUCUGCAUUCACCGAUGGGAUGGUGCUGUAGAGCAGCUUAGGGUCAUCCAGUCCUGGGUGCUGAUCUCCCAAAGAAAAGGGCGAAAGAAUGAUAGAAACAAUGAGAUGAGGGAAAAUGGAAGUGGAAAAAAACAAAGAGGAGUGGGAAAGAUAAUGAGUAAGUGAAACAAGCCUGCAGGGGCGGGGGUGGGGUUCAGCACAAGUCCUCAGUAGGAAUCGCAGCCCGUGGCCCUGAGCUGGGGUAGCUCUGUGGCAGGUUCCAGCCCCAGUGUCACAAAACCAACACACACACAAACUGUGGCCCUGAAAUUUAUAAAUAAUAAUGCAAAGUGGUCUAAGUCAAAGAAUGCAAGAAAGAAUAAUGCAUGUGUUGCAUAAGAACACAAGGAAGGGAGCUGGAGAAAGGAGAAGAGGUAAAAAAAAAAAAUGAAAGCAGACAUGUAGACGAGAAAGCACUUAAAUAUCAUGAGUAAAUAUUACUAACUGUAAAGAAUAGUAAUGGUGGCGCUUCAUCAGUAAAAGAGCAAAUAUCACAGAGAAUGAGUUGAGGAGCGAGCAGAGCGAAGGCAGGAGGGAUGAGGCUUGUGAUCAGUAGCCUCUGCACGCAAGCCUCUCGGGAAUGAAAGGAGGCAAAAAGGAGUGGGAGAGGAGGGACCUGGCAAACCGUGACAAGCCGGACGCAGGCAAGAAACACACGGAGCACACAGAAAAACGCACAUGCCUGCGUGAGUGUGAGAAGGCAGCAGCAAUCGCGGCGUGUUUGGAACCGGGCUCCGGAGAUGGCUAAAUAAAUCUGAGACCAAGUCACCAGCACCAGGAACUUCCCAACACAAGGAAGCCCCCAACGGGGACUGGUGUUGGGACGGCCCUGGGAACCGCGGGGUGGCUGAUCCGAUUCUGUGCACCCGAGGUCCGUAAACAGGAGGGCAGAUAUUGAAAUAAAAGAGUGACAGGAAGAAUGAAUGGACACACGAAUGACUGAAUUAGAAACGGAAAUGCGGGGAAUAGCCCUGGAGAUGCUGCCCAGGGGAGGUUGGUUCAUCUCCUUUGCGCACCUGAGGUCCCGGGGUGUGGCAGAGGCAAGAGAGAAAGCGUCAGAGUCAAAGAAAGAAGGAAGGGCGAGAUGGAGCCAAAUAAAGAGACAGGGAGAUAAAGAAACCAAUAAAAUAGGGGACCAGUGCGUGGGUGUGGCUGUCAGAGGAAGAUCUGUUAGGGUUAGUAAUGAGGUUGUCAUUAAUCCCUAUGAUGGAUGAGAUAAUUCAGACACAGACCCAGGUUCCCAGGGGGAGGGAGAAGGAGAGAAGGAAAAAAAGCAGCAAAAAAAAAAAAAAAAAAAAAAAAAAGUAAUAAACAAGCACCCCAAGUGAUAAAUGGGUAAUUAAGAGAGAGUGCGAGAACAGGGAUUAUGAGUUCACACACGUGCUCCUUAAAUAGAUAAAUACAUUGCACCUUCCACAGAAUAAGUGAAAAAUAAGGGGACAUGCUGGCUGCACCUUUCUCCACUGUCAUCAAAUAUGCAGUUGAGAGCCAUAAAUAAAAGGGUAAAUACUUAAAUGGAAAAGGUGACUAACUGCUGCGGAGAGAGAUCGCAAAUGCAGAUCGCUCCCAGGGCCGGCCAGGGAGACGUGCUUUGCACAUCAGGUCAUGACUGAUGCAGUUACACUCACAGGAGACUAAUAGGUAAAAGCAUUUACUAAACCAGAGAGAGGAAGAACAAAUGGGCGGAUAAAUAGAGAGCGAGGGAGUGAACGAACAUUGAGAAAUGGAGCUUCGUGGAUCAAAGAUGAGGGCGUUGUAUGUGGGUCUUGAUUUGUCCAGUGCUGUGCACCGAGUUUAUAAAAAAAGGAGAGAAUCUGAGGCACAGUGAGAGACAGGGAGAAAGAUAAAAUAGGAACGAGGGGCAAAAAACAUAUGCGUAAACACAGUGAAGAGGACCCCGCCACCCAAGGGCUCUGAUUAGUUUCAGGCUGCCCUAUUGAUGGCCGUGAACAAAGGACUGGACGCUGAGCACAUGUGGGAGUGACCGGGAGGAAGCGUGGUGGGCAUGUAGGAAGGAGGAUGUGGGGAGAGCAGUGCAGUUCUCUUCCCUCGCCUUUGAAGGGGUGGGGCGGGAGGGCUGCUGUUGCUGUGCCCUACCUUGGUCGCCUGGGGUCUACCUGGCCAGAGGACUUGCUCAGGAGGACCUGGCCUUGGGGUGCCGUCUUGUGUGGGCCAUUUCGCUUCCCUGUCUCGUCCUCAGCAUCCCUGAGUGAUCUUGCAAUGGCCUCAGCUCCCCGCUGGGGCUGAGGCUGGGGGUAAAUGCUUGUCUCUGCCCGCUGUGUUCCAUCUGCCAUCUGGGUAGGCAGGAAGGGCUCAGGCCCUGGGCCCUGCAGAGAGUUGCAAGAACAGGGGGUGUUGAGCCCAGUGGGCGUCUUGGCCCCUCCCUGGGAGAGGGUCCCUUGUGAGCUCCCUGUGGGGGAGGCUUUGCCCGCCAGGGGGCAGCAGAGAUAGGGAGUGGGAGGCCAGGGUGGAGCUGGGCCCGCCCCCUAUAUGCCCUCCUGGCUGUGGCUCCUAGCCACCACCAGGGGCUGGCUCAGGGGAAGCCGAGGGAGUGUCCAGGCGCAUCUGAGGAGGGUGGCCCAGUAGCCCAGGGAACCAGGACCCUAGGAGAAGCACCAGGACUUUGUUCUUGAGACUCUGCAGUGUGCCCAGGGGCCGGGGGUGUCUCCCUUCUCGAUCCCCAGCCCACAAGUGCAGACUUGGUCCCGGGGCCCUGUCCCCAGACACGGCAUCCCCGGAGCCUGUUUCAAGGCCUAUCUUUCUGGCUAUUGAUCCUGUACUCUGUAUUCUGGUGGAAAGUGUCUUUGUACUCUGUGUUACCAAUGCCUUCUCAGGCUCGCCGCUGGGGCCGCGGGGGACACCUGGAGAAUUGUCUGUCCUGACGUUCCUCCCCGGCGAGUUCCUUUGCCCUGUGGUGGAGGAGAUCUGUGCACACGUGUGCUGCGUGCCUGUGUUUGUCUCUAGAAACAAGGUCCAAAAUCCCCUCUACUUGUCAGUUCAUUUUUGGGUCAUUAAAAAUAUUUAAAAAAAAUUCUUCCUAAGUGCCCAGAGCAAGAGGAGCACAACAUGACCAGGGAGCACGUGCAGACCAGGGGCCCCGGGAGGGGGCCCCGCGGUUGGCCGCAGGCGUGUAGCCGGUGGGAGAGGGAGCGCAGCUAGGCCAGGCCUGGGGCAGCCCAGAGGCGGAAGGCCCGAGCCAAGGAAUGGGAGCGGGCUCGGCUGACGCCUGAAGCUUGUAGAGGGGUGAAGAUGAGCGAAAGAGGCUGGGGAUGACGGGCCCUGAUGGAUGACAACGGCCUUCUGAACAUGGAGGACAUGGAAUCAAGUGUCGGAAGCCACCUUCUGUGCCCCCAGCACCACGUGUCUGGGCCACGUGAGCAGCUCACGUGGCCCUGACGUGGGGCUGGGGCCGCAGGGGUCUGCUGGCCUCCUCUUUCAGAAUCUGAGGGCUCUGGUCUCUGCUUCAACUGGCCUGAACCUGGGGGCGGGCUUACCAUUCCAGGACACCUGCUGACCUGGGUUCCCGAAGAUCUCCAGACAAGCCCAGGUGUCACUAUGGGAUGCAGAGGAGGUGGGAGGGACUCAGGGCAUGAAGAGACCAGGGAUCAUCAGGGUGAACCCACCUGCAGGUGUUUAGAAGCCAGCAGAGACUCAGAAGACUGCAAGUUUGGGGUGCAGAGGAAAGCGGGAGGGGCCACAGCUGUGCACCAGGAGGACAUGGGAAGGACAGGGACUGGGACAGAAGCAGGUACCAAGUGUCUGUGAACACUUGUCCUGGGGGUCUGGUUUUUUUUUUUAAAUGGUACCAGGGAUUGACCCUGGGGCACUUAACCACUGAGCCACAUCCCAGCCCUUUUUAUAUUUUAAGUUGCUUUGGUCUCACCAACUUGCUGAGGCUGGCUUUGAACUCCGCCUCAGCCCCUCAAGUUGCUGGGAUUACUGGUAUGGCCCCUACCUCUGGCUGUCCAUGGAGUGGGGUGGAUGGGGGCCUCUAGGGCUUGUGACUCCCCAGAGUUUUAAAUCUGGAAUUUCAAGGGCUUCUGGUUCUGAUCCUGAAGUUGGUAGGGUUCCCCCCAGGACAAAAACCUGGGUGGAAUGAUCUGCACGUGCUCUCUGCGCCGGGACCCCGGUCCUCCUACCUGUUCAGGGCUGGUUUACAUGUGUGCUUCUCUUUUUCCUUCAACUUUAUAAAACAAGGAAAAUUUUGUCCCGAUGGACAUUUGUGUGCACCCCACCCAAAUUCUUUCCCCGGUGACGUCAGGGGCUGCCACUCUCCUCGGUCUCCCCCUGUGACUCCAGGUCCCUCCUUGGGACGUGCGCCGAGUUGCCCUGGUGUUCCUGGUGUGACGGUGUGGAUGGCACAUGACCCAGAGGGGAGGGAAAGCAGCCGCAGCUCAGUCCCCUCACCUGUCCCAGCGUUGUUGCUCCUCACGUUCGUGUCCGAGGGUCACACUUUUUAAAUGAACGUUUUGUGAGCAUGCAUUUUUUGAAAUACUAAUCGCUGUUGCUCAUCACAUACUCUCUUUUUGUACGUGUGUCCUGUCUUUUCUACUUAGUAUUCUGCCAUCGGCACUUUUCUUUGUUCACGAGCUUCAUGACCUCCCUGCGCUGGGCGCCUUUGAGUGGCUGUGGUGUCAUUUCAGAUCCACCCUGCUUUUGUCAUGCACAAAUCAUCUCUUUUUUUAAAUCUUGCAAAUUAUGUCACAACUAACAGCUGAGCACACCCACUUUUUUGUUCAUGCUUGCGAAGCACCUUCUCACCCCCAGAAAUUAUCUUUGCUUCAUUAACUGUCAGCUUCUCCUGCUAGACUGUGAGCCCCUUAAGGGCAAGGAGCUUGUUGGAUUGAUCUUUGUGUCUUCAGUGCCCGACAGGUAGACUCUAAAUAGAUGGUGGAUGAGCGGGUGGAAAUGUGGAUGGAAUUUGAGUGAGCGAGUGGGUGAUUGGCAGACAGGACAGGGUGGAGGGUGCGUGCCUCGAUGGAUCUGUGAAUGAACGAGUGCGUUUUCUGUGGUGGAGCUUUUGAAUGAGAGUCUGGGGAUUUUUGUAUGAAUAUUGAUUACUUUUGGAAGGCUUCCGGCAUGUGACAAUGUUUAGCAAUGUAUUAGCAUUUUUUAAAGGUAUCUGCUGGGUUUCUCUCUUAAGUGCUUUCGCAUCGUUUUAACUUGCUCUGAAUACUAAUGAAGGUUUUCCACCUAUGCUUAUUAACAACUUGUAUCUUAUCUUCUGUGAACUGUUUGUCCAAGUCCAUUGGGUCAUGGCUUUCUGAAGAGACUGGUCACGAGUGUCCCGUGGGUAGGGCUGGGGAGAUAGCUCAGUUGGUAGAGUGCUUGCCUUGUAAGCACAAGGCCCCAGCACCCCCCCCCCAAAAAAAAAAGAGUGUCCCGUGGGUGUAGGGAGCCACUCUGUCACUGGAGGCGUGCAAGGAGCCACCAACCAAGGCACAGGGUAGUUUUAGGGAGGUUCACAUAGGGGUAGCUGAGCUGGUCUCUCAGGUCUGUUUGACUUUAGGAAUUGCUUGCUCCUGAGAAAUGGGUGGUGGGGACAGGGACACCUUUCUCUGGCAGGUGGGGCACGUAGGCUUGUAUUCCCUAGGUGUGCCGGGCCCUGUGCCUUGGAAACUCUGCUCUCACCCUCUGGAGCUCUGUGGGUUGGGUCAGCAGUACCUUUCGACUCUCCUGAGGUCCAGGGCACAACCUGAGGCCUCAUUCAGGGCUUUCGCACCUGCCCAGUAACCUGCCUCUUGGUUCCUCCACAGAGGGACCUCUGUCUCCCUUAGGUAGUUGGGUUCCCAGCGUCCUGUGAGGUGUCAGCAAUGUCCCUGAGUCCUGCCUGCACCGUUGACCUCACUGGUGCUGUUAAGGUCUCACCUUCUGGCUCAGAGCUGGUGGAGAAGGCUCUCCUUCAGUCUCCCUCCCCAGCUAAAAUUCCGACCCGCAGUCUGAGGAGUACCAUGGUCCUGAUGCUCUUUGGUAACCCCCCUGCCCUACGCCAAAGUUAGCCGAGUGAUGGCCACCUGAGGAGGGCACAGGACCCAAGCAGGGCUGCCCCAGCAGAGAGCUGCCCACUGCCCCUCUACUAUAGCACUCAGCGCUGUCUGCCUGCGUCCGUCCCUCACCCCGUGUGUAUCUUGGCAUUGAAAUGUGGGAGGCCGGACGACUCUCACCAUGACUUCAACCACCGCCCCUCCCUGCCUUCGGCCUGCGUGUCUCGGCUGGUGCUUUUGGCCUUCCUCCUUCCUGAGAGCAAAGCCUUUCCAUUGGGGGUGGGCUGUGUAGUGCCAUGGGCUGUGGUCAUGAAGCAAACACCCUUCUUUGUCCUUCCCCCUUGGGGUCACUGCUCUGAGCACAUCCCAGCUGGGUCUCAUCUGCCACGGUCACUCCCAUGGCUUCUUCCCAUGGUGCUUUGCCAUGCAUCACACACCGCGACUGUGGUCCAGGGUCAGGGGCCGAGAGUGGUGUGGGGGCUGAGCCCUCCCGACCACGUGUAGAGAUGCCCCCAGGCCUCUCCUUGCCUGGCGCAUGGUCCCCACCAUGAGCUUCGCCUCCAGUCUGUGGCUGUCUACACCAGAUGGCAGUGGUUGUGACUCACCCGUCAUUCCUCAUCCCUCCAUCCGUCACUGACAGUCAAUGAACAUCUUAAAAAAUUAGCUAGUGCUAUACUAGAGCUGGCUCACACAGUCCCGUGCCAAGGCGAACAGGUGCGUCUAGGGGCCGUGUUUGUGUGUCCGAAACCAGGCAGGAUUCUUGACUGAGCUCAAACUUCUGGAUCUGAUCUCUGCUGCGAGUUCGAUGGCCCUCUUCAGCUCUAUUCCUCGUAAAACUAGGCUGAGUAGUAAUCAGCAAGCUCUGGCCUAAGCCCGUUUCCUCAGGAGGCAGGGGGAGAGCUGAGCUCUGCUCGGCCCGGCUCAGGCCUUCCGCCGCGGCCUCUGGGAGCUAGUCCUGCCCAUUCGGAGAUCAGCCAAUGCUCACCUCUAUCUAGAGAAAAUGACCGGAGGUGAUUGCUCCUGUAGGUGACCAGGAUCAUGCCCCAGGCAGGGGUCUGUGCAGGGCAAUCCAUUGGCAGCCCUGGGCGCACGUGGCACAUGGCCCUUAGCAAGCCUUGGGCACAGCCCCCAGGGUCUGUGCGGUUCCCAGCCAGGUCAGCCCUCCCUGCUGGCCGGGGAUGGGGCACUGGCUGGGGCUAUGCCUAGGCUUCGGAGUGUUUCUCCUUGCACUGGGGAAGAGCUGUAGCCUGAGAAGCCAGGACCCUGGAGCUGGACAAAUUGUGUGGUUAAAACUCUGUCUUAUCUUGUGAGGGUUGUGGUACCCACCUCGCAGGGCUGUUGUGAGGACCAGUGUAACUGCAGUUUUGAUUGUGAUUCUGGAAGGGAGGUUUGCGUGCCCCCGGGGUAUGCCAGAGGAGGGCCAGGAGGGGCUGUCUCACUCUGGCAGCUUAGUGGGAAGUUAUUAGUUUGAACAUGCAGGGCAUAUUGGAGGGACAGCACUACAUUCGUCUGGCAUUUUAAGAUGGAGUAGGAGUGAUUUUGGCAGGAACUUUCAAGCCGGGGCCGGGGGACUCUUUGGGUGAUGCCUCUGGCUCCCCGGGUGUGCAGUCACGCCUUCCUCUGUGAAGGGUCGGAAUGACCUGCUGUGCUUUCUGGUUGCUGAGCUGUGCCUCUGUGUCUGGCCUGUGGGCAGCACCACUUAUGUCCUUUUCCGAAAGUCCCUCCCAUGGUGCCGUAGGCACUAGGCAGCAGGACACUACACUGCCUUGUGCCCUUUUGCUGUGUGCCCACUCCCCUCUGGCGACAUUUGGGCCCAAACGCCAGCAGUCUGGGUGCCUAACGCAGUGCCUGGCCAGUGGCAGGACUCACCUCCCACUGUAGAUGGACAGCUAAUGAAGUUGUAACCAAUCCCAGGUGGCGGAUGUUUAUAACCUCUACUGUAUUUUGCUCUUAAUUAACCUGUUUACAAUUGUUACAUUGUAUCUUACCGACUUUUGUACGCCCUGUGUUGUUUGAAAACCAGGAUUCUUGUUUCAGCUAUCAGGUAAUGAAACUUUAGCUGUCUGACAAGAGUCUGUGUUUUAUGUUAGAAAGAGCCCAGAUGUUGGCAUCUGGCAGAUCUCAGGGCCACUUAACUAACUGUGCAGUAUUGGGUCAGUCAGCUUUGCCCCUCUGACCCCUGGUCUCCUUUUCUCGAAGGUGUGUGUCGUCAGAAAGCCUACCUCACAGGGUUGUUGUGAGGGCCGAGCUGGUGCCGUGGAACAGGGCUGUGCACAGGCUGGCUCUCAUCAGGAAGGGCCACCCACUGGGAUGGCCUCCACAGUGCCAGGGGUGCCUUUAUGACUUGUAAGUGAAUAAAAAGUCAGCGUGGCCUUGUGCCUCCUGCUGUAUUUCCAACAGUCGAUGGACCGUGCAGGCUACCAGUAUUUUAGCCACAAGGGCCCAGGGUAAAUGUCGGAUUGAGUGAUGGCUUUUUCCCUCUCCCGCUCUCUAUUGUGGGCUGCUGCUUCAGAGUGCAGGCGGAGGCUGGCUGGCCUCUCUGCUUCAGGCUGCCGUGGAGGACUCUCUACUGGGGGCCUCUCUGCAAACGUCAGUGUGGGCCCUGGCUUAACCAGUUAGGGACUCUGGUGGGGGCGCUUUAGGAGGACGAGGGGCUUUGGUGGCAUCUCUGGGGGGCCAAAGAUCUUGUCCUUUAGUGGAAAGGCCUGUGUUUCUAACCUUCUACAGUCCUUUCCUGUAAAGGAUUCAGUCUCUAGCACCCUACAUAGCCUGCCGCCAAGCUCAGGACUUUCACACACUUCUCCCUCCUGCCACUGGGGCGUGGGCCCAUUGUAUUGGUGAGCAAACUGAGAGCCAGGGACAGCUGGGUGUCUGAGCCAGGACCCAACAGCCUUGUGUGAAGAGCUCUUUUGACGUCUCCAAACGUGCCUCCUGGUGUCUCUGUCUCACCCUGCCUGCCCCCAGCGAGUGUGCCUGCAUCCCUGUCCCCAUGAUGUGCCUGUCCCUGGCACAGAGAUGUGGGGAGGGCUAUGGAGGCCUUGACCCUCUGGGAAGCCCAGGUAGACAAGGAGAGCCAGCUGCUCCUCCGCUGGGGCCUCGCUGCCUCGCCACUGAGUUCCUGCCCCAGCCCCGGCCCUUGCCAUGUUCUUUGGCCACGUUCUCCCCCGACCCCGCUCCACAGCAGCCUCCCUCGUCCCUCCUUCGGCCUUUGGCUUUCAUGGCCUCGGUGGUCAGUCUGGCUUCCUCUGUGGCCCUUGGUCUUGUCAGUCUGGCCUCCUCUGGCAGAAGCCUGGGCUUUUGUGGUUACGUCUGCUGCCCCGCCAUGCCCACCACCAGAAGGCCAGUGUAGGUCCCCGGCUGCCCCUCUCCCAGCUCUGCUGCGAGGGCCCUUGUGGUGCAGCCUCUGGAGUCUGCACCCUGUCCUCCCCCCGUCCUCGACAACAGAGGCCUUGCCUCUGUGCUCCCAAGAGGCCCCACAGUAGGAACAGGUAGCUAGGUCCCUCUUGCCAGGAGAUUUCAUCCAUGUAUGGGUGUCUGUUCCAACAUGGCUUGGGCUCCUCACGGGCCAGGCCUGUGUGUGACCCCGGGGUGGGAGACUGUCAGGUACCUAGUGUCUCCUUGAGGUGGGCAGGUGACAGAGCAGGGACUCAGAGAGGUCAUAGGUCAGCGUGUUGACCCCCGCUGAGGCCUGCAUUUCUCCGACCCUACAGCCCUGCUUUCUGCGCUGGAAGGUGCUUAAUGGUUGCUUACUGACAGGAGGGUUGAAUGUGUGCAAGAGUGGGAUGGACCGUUUGGCUGAAGUACAUGACUCUGUUUAAGAGGAAAAGAUCUGUUUUCUUGGCAAAGACUCAACAGAAGCCCAUGGGGUCUCUGCUUGAGGUCUUAGCCUGGGGAAACUGGUAGCACCUUGAGGGUCUCUCCUGUUGGAAAUAUGAUUUUGGAAAUAUUCGAAUCUAGAAUAAAAUUUGAUCUGAGCUGAAAUGUCCUGGUUGGUGUUGUGGCCGGGGCGAUUUGAGGUCCCAGGUUGCAGGGACCCCCGGGCCUUGCCUGUGCCCUCUCUGACACACCAAAAACCUUUGCCCUGGCAAAGGGAGACUGUUCCACCUGAAAAGUCUUUGUCCCCACCACUGGUGACAGCUUUGCCUUGUCAGUCACAUGCCAAGUUUGGGUAGCCAGCAAGCUGGGGUGGGGAGGGUAGAAUCCACUGGACCCCAGGCCUUGAUUCCUUUCCUCUGUGCUCUCUGCCCACCCCUACCCCAGACCAGUGCCUGGGCACAUGCCCAGGUGGGGCUCCUGGGGUCUUGCCCCUUUGGCUUCUGGUCCUGGGGCUUCUUUUGCAAGCCGAGUGUCCUUGGGCAGGUUCCUGAACCGCCCUGUGCAUUGUUUGCCCACCUUUAGAAAUGGCACCCUGGAGGGCCGUCUCUGCUCAGAAGGCCACAAGCACCCCGUGGCUCAUGAGAAUCAAGGUCUGGGUCUGAGGCACCCUCGCCCUCCUGACCCUCUGAUUUGAGUGCGUUUGAUUGUCUGUAACCUGCGAGGACUGUUAUUGUAGGAUUCGAUGCGAUUGUGAAAUCAAUGCUGUUACCUGGCACACAGGCCCCUCAGCCUUGUCCUCCUGGGCUCCUGGCUCUGAGGACCUGGCCACGGCACCCUGCCAUCUGUGGGCUCGGGGAAAAGCUUGCCAUAGGCCCUGGAACUCUGCUGGCCCGUGCGGUGCCACAGUGGGGGGCUGGGGGCAGCACCCAGCCCACUCUGGGGAGAUAGGGACGGAGGGAAGGGUUUGUCUUUCUACACCAGGAUGCAGCAGGUUCUGAGGGGGAGGGCAGGCAGGAGUGGGAGGGUCAGGGAGCUUCAGAAGCCCCCACAGGAGGACAGAGUGCUGAAGUCCAGCAGGUGAUGUGUGGGCUGGCCAGGCUGAGCUUGGCUUCCAGAAAGACCACCAGUCCAGCUUCGCAUGAGUGAGCAAGGAGCUGGUGGCUGGGUGCUGCCCCACGCCCAGGGCCGCCUGGAGGUGGCCAGGCGCCCUCUCCUGCCUCCCGGGGCUGCCGGUCUGCAUGAGAACGCUCGUCAGCCCGAGGGACCCGGAGCAGGUAGCCUUCAUCUCCAACUGUCUCCCGCAGCCUCCACAGCCUCGCGACGCCCUGCACGCCUUCCCACUGCCAGGCCGGACCAAAGACUCUGGACGGGGCCUCCCCUUGAGUAGAGACCCGCUCUCUGACUGAUGGACUGCGCUGGCCUGGGGGUCACACCCACAGGCGUGGUCCCUGUUCACUCCCCAUGAACCCUGAGACUUGGGGGGAUGGCUGAGCUCCCCAUGCCGUGUCUGUGGAAACCUACCUCACAGGGCUGUUGUGAGGCGCCCUGCGACCCGUUCAGCCCGCCCCUGUGCGCUCAAUAAAUGUCUUCUUCCUAAUGAAAGCGGAAGAGCGUCGUGUAG